CUCCAGAGGGAGGAGCAGAGACUACAGUUCUGUUUUGCAAGGACCAUGGUGACCACGAACCCCACAAAACAACUGGCCACUGAAUUUCUGGAUACCUGACAAUAUGGAUAGUCUGCUCUGGGUUAACUUCAUGUAAGUGUUUCGUACUGAAUAGGAAAAGCUUGGUAAGCAUGACAUGGAGCUUUACCUGUCUAUCUCAGUAGGAACAGCUGUGGCUUGGUGCAGGCACAGAGCUGGACAAAUAUCCAAAAGAGCUACAAUGUCUUCUGCUCUGUCACUGAACACAACAACAUGCUGCUCAGCAGAAGUUUCUCUGAUGGUCUGGAAGGGAAGCACAGAUUCAUGCCAAAAAGAAAUCUGCUGACCUGACACAGGGACUGUUCUCCCACUCUGAUCUUAUAAGUACACAGCUCAGGUUAUUGGAAGAUGUGGCUACAUGAUACCUCAUGAACUGGACACUAAUUCCUAUUAAAUCUACCAGGAAAAAGAAAAAAAAAAGUCAAAAAUGUGCCCCAGAUGAAUCCCUAGGACUCAAAAUGAUGAAAAUAUCCCUUCUACUUUUUUAAAGAUUAUUUUUUUAAAUUAUGAAGUUACAUGUUUUUUCAACUGAUCACGGUUUUGAGGACUGAUACACAAAGGCUGGAUGUUUGGAACUGGCAAAGAUAUACUGAGUAGACAUCUGACAGAUGACAAUGUUUCUUGAACGCUUCAGGACUGAAUGAUGGAGAAGAUGAAAAAGCCAUUUGAGAAAUGCCUUUCUUAUUCCAAAUCCUUUACUUCACAUUUCAACAGUAUGCCCAAGUUGGAUAUAAUGUUUCUUUCACUUAUGGCAAUGCAUAAUCCACAGAAAUGGUACUGGUCACAAUUCAGUCCCAUCCUUCCCCUCUCCAAGUAAUGAUUAAGCCAUGAAGAGACUCUGCUGUGGGAUGGAGGAGACCAUGCCUACAGCCUGUGCUUGAGUGGUGGCAAAGGUCUGCACAGAAGAUCUAGGAAGCCUUUUCCAAAACUUCCAGUGCUGUCAGUCUUGGCUCCAUGGUAGGAGCCUGAGCCCCCUUCCAGCAGAGUGGUGAAGUCCAGUUGGGCAGCAGACCUGGAGUGCACAGCCUUACCCUGGAAAGGUUCCUGCAGCUCCCUGAGCAAGAGCUGCAGACACUGGAAUCUGCAGGAGGCUGGAGCCAGACACUGCCUGGCAGUGUUACAUCUGGCCAGGUUCAGAAUCCAGGUCAGGUUCAAAUUCUCUGAAAGUUUGUUAAAUCUGAGACAUUUUGGACAAGACACUCAAGACUCAACAAAAAGGCAUUUUUAAAUGAAAUUCUUUCACUGUGCAAUUCACAACAAAUACUAACUGUGAGUUAGCUCAUUAUGUAAACAGCAAAGUGUUGAAUUUUGGCUGCCUUCAAUACCUCUACUCUACUGCACUUUCUAACCAGAAUAUCAGUCUCUAGUAUGAUUUUAAUUAACCUUCUUUCUCUUGAUACUUAAGUGAGUGUUAUCACACUGUCUGAUUUUUUUCUUACAGUCACUGUUAAAUGUUAUUCCCCACAAAGCCCUUAACACAGGAAAAAUAAGUCCAUUUUGAAGCCCAAGGAUAAAACACCAGGUGUAAAUACAGGGGUAUUUGUGGAUCCACCAAAACAUGAACUUAAUUUUUUGAGUCUUCAUUCUUACCAUCUAUGCUGGCCUUAGAACAUCUGUCUCCAUCUUUUUCCCCUUACUCCAGCAUUACAGUCUCAACUCCACAUUUUCAUCUUUCAGCUGCAUGUAUUUAAUUAUGAGUCACUAUCCCAAAAGAAGAACAAAGUGAUUAUACUUCCAUGUGAAUUUGCAGAAUGUUAAUCUGGUUAUAGAUACACAAAUAAAAAUAAUGUAUGAGCAUAUAAAUAGAAAACAAAAGCUUUAUUGUGGCUUCUUUGAAAGUCUGGAACGCAUCUCAGAAGACAAAAAGGAAACCAAGAAAAGUCUUGAUUCCAGCUGAUAAAUGUUUGUUCUCUAAAGGUUUUAAUCCACGGCAGAGAAGGAUAAUGAAUCAUGUCCAACAUCAGUGGAUAAAUCUAUUAAUUCCAUUUUUAUUUUAGGGAUAAAAAUACUACAGCAAAAUUCAUCUAAAAAUGAGCUGUAAAGGUGUUUAACUAAUCAGCAUAUAAAUAAAAAUAGCUAGGACUUAUCAGUGUUAAAUGUUGAAAUAUUUUGAGAAUUUACAUGGUCCUUGAUAUUAUUAUUUUCCCUUAACUGUGGUUGGGUUUAGUUGUCGUUGUUUGUUUGUUUUUUAAUUUCCAUUAGCUGAAUGUGGAUUUUGAAAUAGGAUCACUUAUUACGGAGCUGCUUUUGAGGGUCAGAAAUAUAUAAACUACAUUCUCAGACCUUCUUCUCUUCCCUUGCAUUACACAAUGUUUCCCUAGUGAAUAAUGAAUCCCCGCAAGGGACUUUCCAGACCCAUUUUCUGUGAUUGCGUCCAGCUAUUCUGUGCCCCAGAUAAGCAAUAUAUCCACAAUAUGGAAAAAAUU